rfam:Myotis lucifugus cont2.51293, whole genome shotgun sequence.
GGCGGUUCUCCAGUGAUGCACCCUGGAAUUGGGCUCUCUCCUCUCUGGUUCCAGGUGUAUCACCCGAGAACCACC